rnacentral:misc_RNA from 1 species
AAAUAAAAAUCGGUGUUGUUGCUGCCUUGCGUGGUGACGCAUCGGAUUUGGGUCGUCUUACCUUCGGUUAAGUGACCUAAAAUUUUGCAUGAUUUUUCGAACGUAUUUAAAUUAUUUACGUACGUUUGCGAUAUCGAAUAUUAGGAGUGGUCAUUCUCAUGAUUCGCGCCUAUAAUUUCACAUCA